UUUACACAUGCAAGUCGAACGGUAGAGGGGGCAACCCCUCGAGAGUGGCGAACGGGUGAGUAAUAUAUCGGAACGUGCCCAGUCGUGGGGGAUAACGUAGCGAAAGUUACGCUAAUACCGCAUACGAUCUACGGAUGAAAGCGGGGGACUCGCAAGAGCCUCGCGCGAUUGGAGCGGCCGAUAUCAGAUUAGGUAGUUGGUGGGGUAAAGGCUCACCAAGCCAACGAUCUGUAGCUGGUCUGAGAGGACGACCAGCCACACUGGAACUGAGACACGGUCCAGACUCCUACGGGAGGCAGCAGUGGGGAAUUUUGGACAAUGGACGCAAGUCUGAUCCAGCCAUUCCGCGUGCAGGAUGAAGGCCCUCGGGUUGUAAACUGCUUUUGUACGGAACGAAAAGGUCUCUCUUAAUACGAGGGGCUCAUGACGGUACCGUAAGAAUAAGCACCGGCUAACUACGUGCCAGCAGCCGCGGUAAUACGUAGGGUGCAAGCGUUAAUCGGAAUUACUGGGCGUAAAGCGUGCGCAGGCGGUUAUGUAAGACAGAGGUGAAAUCCCCGGGCUCAACCUGGGAACUGCCUUUGUGACUGCAUAGCUAGAGUACGGUAGAGGGGGAUGGAAUUCCGCGUGUAGCAGUGAAAUGCGUAGAUAUGCGGAGGAACACCGAUGGCGAAGGCAAUCNNCUGGACCUGUACUGACGCUCAUGCACGAAAGCGUGGGGAGCAAACAGGAUUAGAUACCCUGGUAGUCCACGCCCUAAACGAUGUCAACUGGUUGUUGGGUCUUCACUGACUCAGUAACGAAGCUAACGCGUGAAGUUGACCGCCUGGGGAGUACGGCCGCAAGGUUGAAACUCAAAUGAAUUGACGGA
rnacentral:rRNA from 1 species